rnacentral:rRNA from 1 species
AUUGAACGCUGGCGGCAGGCUUAACACAUGCAAGUCGAGCGGGGGAAGGUAGCUUGCUACCGGACCUAGCGGCGGACGGGUGAGUAAUGCUUAGGAAUCUGCCUAUUAGUGGGGGACAACAUCUCGAAAGGGAUGCUAAUACCGCAUACGUCCUACGGGAGAAAGCAGGGGAUCUUCGGACCUUGCGCUAAUAGAUGAGCCUAAGUCGGAUUAGCUAGUUGGUGGGGUAAAGGCCUACCAAGGCGACGAUCUGUAGCGGGUCUGAGAGGAUGAUCCGCCACACUGGGACUGAGACACGGCCCAGACUCCUACGGGAGGUAGCAGUGGGGAAUAUUGGACAAUGGGGGGAACCCUGAUCCAGCCAUGCCGCGUGUGUGAAGAAGGCCUUAUGGUUGUAAAGCACUUUAAGCGAGGAGGAGGCUACUUUAGUUAAUACCUAGAGAUAGUGGACGUUACUCGCAGAAUAAGCACCGGCUAACUCUGUGCCAGCAGCCGCGGUAA